CUAGAACGAUUACAAUUAGCUAUCUAUCUUGAUUAUAUUUAAAUGAUUGGGCUGAAUUCCAUUUGAGUUACACCAGUAAUGAAUUCAGACUAUAAUCUUUAUCCCACUGAUCUUUUGCAAGAAUUUAAGUUCAAAGUCACUUUAAAACAUGAUCUAUAAGCUUCUGUCAAAACAAGGUUCCAAAACUGAACCCAGUAUUUUCCAGAACUUAAUCCUUUAAAAGUAAUCUCUGGAAAUUCAGACUUGCUUUGGGCUUGAGUCAAACCUAAAACAAGGAAUAAAGUUGUAUUUCAACCUUCAAAUGAAGCAAGUUGGAAGUAGCUUUUUUGUGCCUUUGUCUCCCCAGCAAGGGUGAUGGACAUUCCUUCCCUAUGAGAACGUUAUGUGAAGUUCAGAAUCCACUGCUAGCAAACGAAGAACAGUGGGGAGAUGAUGGAUUAGAUGAAGAGAACCAUGGUUACCAUGAAGGUUCAUCUCUUGCCAUAGAAAUGGAGACAUAGCGGUUUACAAAUCUGGUGGUACAAAACUCACUCACUCAGCUUCCUUCUCAGGAGCCAGCAUCUUCUCUUUGCACAGACUUCAGAACUGAAGGUCAGGAAGCAAAUGGAUCUUCAGGAUAAGAAAACAUCAUGAAGUAUUAUCUGAUUGGAAUCCUAGACUGAUUGUCCAGAAUACCUGCUGGUCAGAUC
rnacentral:lncRNA from 1 species